UACAGAGGUCUCAAGCGUUGUUCGGAUUCAUUGGGCGUAAAGGGUGCGUAGGUGGCGUCGUAAGUCGGGUGUGAAAUUUCGGAGCUUAACUCCGAAACUGCAUUCGAUACUGCGGUGCUUGAGGACUGGAGAGGAGACUGGAAUUCAUGGUGUAGCAGUGAAAUGCGUAGAGAUCAUGAGGAAGACCAGUGGCGAAGGCGGGUCUCUGGACAGUUCCUGACACUGAGACACGAAGGCCAGGGGG
rnacentral:rRNA from 1 species